rnacentral:rRNA from 1 species
AACGCUGGCGGCGUGCCUAACACAUGCAAGUCGAACGAGAAAGUACCUUCGGGGUGCGAGUAAAGUGGCAAACGGGUGAGUAACGCGUGGGAUAUCUACCCUGAUGAGAGGAAUAACUCUCCGAAAGGAGAGCUUAUACCGCAUAAUCCGGAAACGGGAAAGGCCUUAUGGUCGCAUCUGGAGGAGCCCGCGUCCGAUUAGCUGGUUGGUGAGGUAAUGGCUCACCAAGGCGACGAUCGGUAGCCGGUCUGAGAGGACGGACGGUCACACUGGGACUGAGACACGGCCCAGACCCCUACGGGAGGCAGCAGUGGGGAAUUUUGGGCAAUGGGGGAAACCCUGACCCAGCAACGCCGCGUGGAGGAAGAAGGUUUUCGAAUCGUAAACUCCUGUCCCACGAGAAGAAGCAAGUGACGGUAUCGUGGGAGGAAGCCCCGGCUAACUCCGUGCCAGCAGCCGCGGUAAUACGGGGGGGGGCGAGCGUUGUUCGGAAUUACUGGGCGUAAAGGGCGCGUAGGCGGUUUCGGAAGUCAAGGGUGAAAGCCCCGAGCUCAACUCGGGAAUUGCCUUUGAAACCACGGAACUAGAGUGCUGGAGAGGAAAGCGGAAUUUCCAGUGUAGCGGUGAAAUGCGUAGAUAUUGGAAGGAACAUCUGAGGCGAAGGCGGCUUUCUGGACAGACACUGACGCUGAGGCGCGAAAGCCAGGGGAGCGAACGGGAUUAGAUACCCCGGUAGUCCUGGCUGUAAACGAUGAACACUUGGUGUGGGGGGUAUAAAGUCCCUCCGUGCCGAAGAUAACUCGAUAAGUGUUCCGCCUGGGGAGUACGGCCGCGAGGCUGAAACUCAAAGGAAUUGACGGGGGCCCGCACAAGCGGUGGAGCAUGUGGUUUAAUUCGACGCAACGCGAAGAACCUUACCGGGGUUUGAACUGUACCGGCGACAUCCAGAGAUGGAUGGUUUCCUUCGGGAACUGGUAUAGAGGUGCUGCAUGGCUGUCGUCAGCUCGUGUCGUGAGAUGUUGGGUUAAGUCCCGCAACGAGCGCAACCCUUGUCUGUAGUUGCCAUCAGGUUAAGCUGGGCACUCUACGGAGACUGUCGGCGAUAAGCCGGAGGAAGGUGGGGAUGACGUCAAGUCCUCAUGGCCUUUAUGUCCCGGGCUACACACGUGCUACAAUGGAUGGAACAGAGGGCAGCAAGCCUGCGAAGGCAAGCGAAUCCCAAAAAUCCAUUCUCAGUUCGGAUUGCAGUCUGCAACUCGACUGCAUGAAGUUGGAAUCGCUAGUAAUCGCGGAUCAGAAUGCCGCGGUGAUACGUUCCCGGGCACUUGUACACACCGCCCGUCACAUCACGAAAGUGGGCUGUACUAGAAGC